GCAGUAGCCGCGGUAAUACGUAGGUGGCAAGCGUUGUCCGGAAUUAUUGGGCGUAAAGGGCUCGCAGGCGGUUUCUUAAGUCUGAUGUGAAAGCCCCCGGCUCAACCGGGGAGGGUCAUUGAAAACUGGGAAACUUGAGUGCAGAAGAGGAGAGUGGAAUUCCACGUGUAGCGGUGAAAUGCGUAGAGAUGUGGAGGAACACCAGUGGCGAAGGCGACUCUCUGGUCUGUAACUGACGCUGAGGAGCGAAAGCGUGGGGAGCGAACAGGAUUAGAUACCCCCGUAGUCCCUGUCUUUUAUAA
rnacentral:rRNA from 1 species